rnacentral:rRNA from 1 species
GAUCCUGGCUCAGGAUGAACGCUAGCUACAGGCUUAACACAUGCAAGUCGAGGGGCAGCAUGAACUUAGCUUGCUAAGUUUGAUGGCGACCGGCGCACGGGUGAGUAACACGUAUCCAACCUUCCGUUUACUCAGGGAUAGCCUUUCGAAGAAAGAUUAAUACCUGAUAGUAUGGUGAGAUUGCAUGAUAACACCAUUAAAGAUUAUUGUAACGAUGGGAGUGCGUUCCAUUAGG